rnacentral:rRNA from 1 species
AAAAGAACCUGAAACCGUGUACGUACAAGCAGUGGGAGCCUCUUUUAUGGGGUGACUGCGUACCUUUUGUAUAAUGGGUCAGCGACUUAUAUUCUGUAGCAAGGUUAACCGAAUAGGGGAGCCGAAGGGAAACCGAGUCUUAACUGGGCGUUAAGUUGCAGGGUAUAGACCCGAAACCCGGUGAUCUAGCCAUGGGCAGGUUGAAGGUUGGGUAACACUAACUGGAGGACCGAACCGACUAAUGUUGAAAAAUUAGCGGAUGACUUGUGGCUGGGGGUGAAAGGCCAAUCAAACCGGGAGAUAGCUGGUUCUCCCCGAAAGCUAUUUAGGUAGCGCCUCGUGAAUUCAUCUCCGGGGGUAGAGCACUGUUUCGGCAAGGGGGUCAUCCCGACUUACCAACCCGAUGCAAACUGCGAAUACCGGAGAAUGUUAUCACGGGAGACACACGGCGGGUGCUAACGUCCGUCGUGAAGAGGGAAACAACCCAGACCGCCAGCUAAGGUCCCAAAGUCAUGGUUAAGUGGGAAACGAUGUGGGAAGGCCCAGACAGCCAGGAUGUUGGCUUAGAAGCAGCCAUCAUUUAAAGAAAGCGUAAUAGCUCACUGGUCGAGUCGGCCUGCGCGGAAGAUGUAACGGGGCUAAACCAUG